rnacentral:ncRNA from 16 species
GGUGUUGGCGCAGUGGCAGCGCUUUCGUUUCCGAUGCGAAGGGUCGGGAGUUCGAAUCUUCCA